GUGUGUAUGCAAGGAGAGGGUUUGCACCCCAUUAACAAGGAUAGAAGAGGCCCUGGAACCUAAAAUAUGAAUAACGUACAGGACAUUGCCACAUAUUUUGUGUUGCCUAACCACUGUCAUUU